CUCCUACGGGGGGCAGGCAGUGGGGAAUAUUGGACAAUGGGCGCAAGCCUGAUCCAGCCAUGCCGCGUGAGUGAUGAAGGCCCUAGGGUUGUAAAGCUCUUUUGUGCGGGAAGAUAAUGACGGUACCGCAAGAAUAAGCCCGGCUAACUUCGUGCCAGCAGCCGCGGUAAUUC
rnacentral:rRNA from 1 species